AAGUCCACAGAGUCCACGUCAAGCUCGCCUCACCGCAUCGCGCCCACGCGCGGCGGAGAUCCCCUUCCACACAUUCUCUCCACGACGCCGCGAAGCAGCAGGAAGGCCGCGCCCGCAGGUUACCUUACUGUUCCGGUGGUGUUGGCGUUCUGGUGCUGCUGCUGUCCACCAGAGCUCCUCGUGGUGCUGCCACCGUCCAACGGAGCUCCUGCCGGCCUCCCUGUCGUGUCACCCUAUCGGAAAGUCACCAUCCUUUUCCUAUGUUCAUGCCCUCCGCGGGUGCUGUGGUGACGAUGUUGUCCACCGGAGCUCCUGGUGCUCACUACGGCAUGCUGUCCCUGCCUUCUUUGAGUUUGAUCUCUCCUACAACACCUUGUCAUCCAUCGGAAGGGAGGUAGCUCAUCAAUGACAGCUUACACCACUGCAGAGCAAGGAGAGGGUGUUCUCGAGAGCAUGGAGCUGGGCCAAGGAGCUUGCCGAGAGCAGGAUGGAAUGAGGUGGCCUUACUACACUAAAUUUUUGGAACCAUAGGUCUCGUGUUGGACAGUUUCAGUUUCCACUGUCAUUUAUGAGUCUCACAGUGAUGCUGAGAUUUCUGUUGUUGCUUUUUGCCGAGGAGAAAACAUGGCCAUGUGCUCCUUUUGAUGGAACUUCUAGGUGUGCCUGUCUUGUUUGCUUUGUGGAUGAUGCCCUAUUUUAUUCUCUCUCCCUCUUUCCCUGAGUAUAUUUUGACCUAUAGGUGUGGGUUGACUAUGAUUUCCUCUAAGCAAUAACCUCUAUUCAUAAAAAUGAUGUGUUGAACAAUUAAAGUUUUGCUACCUAUGAUAGUUGCAGCCUUCACAGGCGAUGGAAGCAUCAUCACAUUGUGGGACCCUGAUAAUAAUGCACUUGUUGGUGUGAUUUCAGAAGCAUUAUUGAGUUCAAGACCAAAGGUUGUAGUGUGGAAUGCGUCGAAUAUUAAAUACGGCGGUUUUACACUCUUUGUGCAGAAGGUGAGGAUAUACAUGAGUUAAGGAUGAUACUGGAUAUCUCGUGGCUGCCAAGGGGUCAAGUCAAGGACUCCCAUGUCACUCAAGAUCAGUGCAGAAUGUGUGGCUCCACUCCGGUCCAGAUUGCACCUGGGAGAAAAGCUACCAUUCCUUCCUCUUCUCCAUGCCUUCCUCUGCAGAUACUUCGUUUCGCUCUUUCGUUAUAUUUUUCUGGUCCGUGCAUGUAGUUCCUUCUAAUGGGCAGUAUCAUUUGUUGUACGCAGCAUGCAUCUUGACCGAAUGUUGAUCUCCUUUAUUUGGCGUACCCAUGUUGUAGUUGAUGGACAAGUCAUGCACAUAGAAAUGAUCCUUGCUAUGAUGCAAAGGAUCCUGUCUGUGGAGGUAAUAGUCAAGCCAUACAUCAGCACCAGUUGUGCUCGUUUGAUCCUCAUGUGUAUCCAGCAAAGAUCUUUGUGUAAAGCAAUAUAGAAAUUUUUCAGGUCGCAAAAUUAUCCU